CUAAAUGACUCUCGGCAACGGAUAUCUCGGCUCUCGCAUCGAUGAAGAACGUAGCGAAAUGCGAUACUUGGUGUGAAUUGCAGAAUCCAGUGAACCAUCGAGUCUUUGAACGCAAGUUGCGCCCGAAGCCUUCGGGCUAAGGGCACGUCUGCCUGGG
rnacentral:rRNA from 1 species